GUUGUAGUACUUUCUCCAGGUCACUUCUGUUGCAGGCCUCUCCGUAGGGCAAGAUGUAUUUACGGCCACUGAUGAGAGCCCCACUCCUGUUCCUGAUAAGGUAGACAAAGAGCAAGCUGAAAAAAMCACAGGGCUGAUCUGACUCCUCUGGCUUCAACACAGAAUUCCUUUAUUUAUUCUGUGUGCUUGAGACUGUCUAGRAAAUAGAUCCCGGGAGCUGCGCAGGAGGGAUCCCCCGGAGCAGUGGCAGCGUUUGCUGUGCCCCGCGCAGCCGUGCUGUUGGAAGCGGGCUGUCCUGCAAGCAUGCCGUGGGGGCUGCAGCAGCAUGCUGCAAGCUGAGCGAGCUGGCGGGAGCCAC
rnacentral:lncRNA from 1 species